UUAAAUCGUAUAAGCUUUUUUUUAAAUAGCAUACUAACUUUUGAAAUUCUAGUCUCCAGUUUUUGGUUGGUGUUUUCAAGCUCUGAAAGACAAGUGAGGUGUCAUCACGGAGUAUAGAUAACUGUAUCCAAGAUGAAAGUAGUAUGGUGUUUGCUGAUAGUAUUACCCCUGGUAUUAACCACAGACAAGAGAUUUAUCUUAGGGGAUCUGGUAGAUAAGUUAGUGCAAGGUGUGUAGAAAAGAUAUUGAUUUUAAACACCUGAAGGAUACCAUCAAUAAGAUCCUGGAUAGAAUCGGUUCCAACUCGACUGCUAGUCAGUGUGUAACAGCCUGUACUCAAAUAGCUACAAAGGAUAUCCUGGAUGCUGGUUGUCCAUUAUUCUGUUCUGGGUUUCAACUGCUUGUACAGAAACUCCACAUUGAAGAUGGCACAGAUUUGUUUAAAUUAUUGAGACAUCAAUAAAUUUGUAUUUUA